rnacentral:rRNA from 1 species
UACGUAGGGUGCAGGCGUUAAUCGGAAUUACUGGGCGUAAAGCGUGCGCAGGCGGUUUGCUAAGACAGGUGUGAAAUCCCCGGGCUUAACUUGGGAAUUGCGCUUGUGACUGGCGUGCUGGAGUGUGGCAGAGGGAGGUGGAAUUCCACGUGUAGCAGUGAAAUGCGUAGAGAUGUGGAGGAACACCGAUGGCGAAGGCAGCCUCCUGGGCCAGCACUGACGCUCAUGCACGAAAGCGUGGGGAGCAAACAGG